rnacentral:misc_RNA from 1 species
GAUGAAGAACGUAGCGAAAUGCGAUAAGUAAUGUGAAUUGCAGAAUUCAGUGAAUCAUCGAAUCUUUGAACGCACAUUGCGCCCGUCAGUAUUCUGGCGGGCAUGCCUGUUCGAGCGUCAUUAUAACCCCUCAAGCUCAGCUUGGUGUUGGGGCCUGCCGCACGGGCAGCCCUUAAAAUCAGUGGCGGUGCCAUCUGGCUCUAAGCGUAGUAAUUCUUCUCGCUAUAGAGUUCCGGUGGAUGCUUGCCAUUAACCCCCAAUUUUCUAUGGUUGACCUCGGAUCAGGUAGGGAUACCCGCUGAACUUAAGCAUAUCAAUAAGCGGAGGA